UACGUAGGGGGGCUAGCGUUGUCCGGAAUCAUUGGGCGUAAAGAGCGUGUAGGCGGCUCGGUAAGUCCGCUGUGAAAGUCCAGGGCUCAACCCUGGAAUGCCGGUGGAAACUGUCGAGCUAGAGUCCGGAAGAGGCGAGUGGAAUUCCUGGUGUAGCGGUGAAAUGCGCAGAUAUCAGGAGGAACACCAAUGGGCGAAGGCAGCUCGCUGGGACGGUACUGACGCUGAGACGCGAAAGCGUGGGGAGCAAACAGG
rnacentral:rRNA from 1 species